GAAGCGCACCAGACCGCCGCUGGCACGACAUCCCGAAAGGGUGUGCUGGAGGAACGUCCGGACUGCACAGGACAGCGUAGGAGGUAACACCUCUCCACCGACAAGCUUGAGGAGUUCGCUCCGAAGGCCCUAAGGUGAGGAUCAGAGCAACAGAGACGAGCCGAUUCAGUUCGGGUGAAACGGGCAAUCUCUACGCGCAGCAAUACCAAAUAGGCCAGCGUUGACGUGGUUCCGCGGAGUUGGCGGGUAGGUAGCACCGAGCCGGGUGGGUGACCCUCGGCCCAGAUGAAUGGCGGUCACACCGGGGGAAACCCCGGUGCACAGAAUCCGGCGUAACGGUGCGCUUCACAC
rnacentral:RNase_P_RNA from 1 species